AGAAAGGAAAAACAAAGAUUUUGAGCGGAAGUUGAUCCAAGUCGCUGAUAUGCAUGGCGAACUUAUUGAACGCUCGUGAAUAUCAGCUAAGAAAAUUAAAAGAAGAGCUUGUCAAUCUUAGAGGACCGCUUCCUCAGGACAAUAAUCAUGAUGAAUGUUUAUAUUUGACGGAGUUUGGUCCAAAUUUCAUGUCUGUCAAUACUCGUCCUUUAAUUAACAUUUGGAUUCCAUC